rnacentral:rRNA from 1 species
AUGUUGCGUAUGAAGUGUGGUCUGAAAGAUAGCAUAUAUGUCACUGUAGAAGAAAAGGUUGCUAUGUUCUUGUUGGUGGUUGGACAUGGUAUUAAAAUGAGAGUGUUGCGUGGCACUUACAAGCGUUCUUUAGAGACUAUCAGUAGGCACUUCUCGAAUGUGUUGGCAGCCAUUCUUUCCCUAACUGGGGAGUUUAUCAAGCUUCCUGAUCCUUCUAUUGAACCUCCGGAUGAUUACAAAUGGAAGUGGUUUGGAAAUGCCUUGGGAGCACUAGAUGGGUGUCAUGUUGAUGUUUCUGUCGUUGCGGCUGACGAAGGGAGGUAUAGGAACAGAAAGCAAGAUGUCACCACUAACAUGCCAGGCGUUGUUGACUGGAACAUGAAAUUUCUUUAUGUUCUACCUGGCUGGGAGGGAUCUGCAUCUGACUCCAGAGUGUUGCGUGAUGCAAUGAGAAACGAUCGUCAAGAUGCAUUUGUUAUACCUCAUGGUAUGAUUGUUUCUCUUGGCAUUUUGUUUCUUUUUGUGUUAAUGUUAGCUAAAUCUAAUUGGUGCACCAUAGGAAAAUACUACUUAGUGGAUGCUGGCUACACCAAUGGACCUGGCUUUCUGGCUCCAUUCAUAUCGACUAGGUACCACUUGAAAGAGUGGGUCUCAAGUCAACAACAACCCCAAACUGACAAAGAGUUGUAUAACUUGCGCCAUUCUCGGGCUAGAAAUGUUGUGGAGAGAACUUUUGGCCUAUGGAAGAAAAAAUGGGCCAUUCUACGAAUUCAAUCUUUCUUUGACAUAAAGGACCAGGUAACAAGUGUCCAUAUGGUGUUGAAUAACAUAUGGACUGUAUGA